rnacentral:rRNA from 1 species
GAUGAACGCUGGCGGCGUGCCUAAUACAUGCAAGUCGAGCGAACAGACGAGGAGCUUGCUCCUCUGACGUUAGCGGCGGACGGGUGAGUAACACGUGGAUAACCUACCUAUAAGACUGGGAUAACUUCGGGAAACCGGAGCUAAUACCGGAUAAUAUAUUGAACCGCAUGGUUCAAUAGUGAAAGACGGGUUUGCUGUCACUUAUAGAUGGAUCCGCGCCGCAUUAGCUAGUUGGUAAGGUAACGGCUUACCAAGGCAACGAUGCGUAGCCGACCUGAGAGGGUGAUAGGCCACACUGGAACUGAGACACGGUCCAGACUCCUAUGGGAGGCAGCAGUAGGGAAUCUUCCGCAAUGGGCGAAAGCCUGACGGAGCAACGCCGCGUGAGUGAUGAAGGUCUUCGGAUCGUAAAACUCUGUUAUUAGGGAAGAACAAAUGUGUAAGUAACUAUGCACGUCUUGACGGUACCUAAUCAGAAAGCCACGGCUAACUACGUG